GGGUCCGAGUUGUAAUUUGCAGAGGAUGCUUUUGGCGCGGUUCCUUCUGAGUUCCCUGGAAUGGGACGCCAGAGAGGGUGAGAGCCCCGUACGGUCGGACACCAAGCCUUUGUAAAGCUCCUUCGACGAGUCGAGUAGUUUGGGAAUGCUGCUCAAAAUGGGAGGUAUAUCUCUUCUAAAGCUAAAUACCGGCCAGAGACCGAUAGCGCACAAGUAGAGUGAUCGAAAGAUGAAAAGCACCUUGAAAAGGGGGUUAAAUAGUACGUGAAAUUGUUGAAAGGGAAGCGCUUGUGACCAGACUUGGGCCUGGCGAAUCAUCUAGCCUUCUGGCUAGUGCACUUCGUCGGUCCAGGCCAGCAUCAGUUUGCCGUCGGGGACAAAAGUCGCGGGAAUGUGGCUCCCUCGGGAGUGUUAUAGCCCGUGGCAUAAUGCCCUUCGGCGGACUGAGGUUCGCGCAUCUGCAAGGAUGCUGGCGUAAUGGUCACCAGCGACCCGUCUUGAAACACGGACCAAGGAGUCAACCUUAUGUGCGAGUGUUCGGGUGUCAAACCCUUACGCGUAAUGAAAGUGAACGCAGGUGAGAGCUUCGGCGCAUCAUCGACCGAUCCUGAUGUUCUCGGAUGGAUUUGAGUAAGAGCAUAUAGGGUUGGACCCGAAAGAAGGUGAACUAUGCGUGUAUAGGGUGAAGCCAGAGGAAACUCUGGUGGAGGCUCGCAGCGGUUCUGACGUGCAAAUCGAUCGUCAAAUAUGCGCAUGGGGGCGAAAGACUAAUCGAACCUUCU
rnacentral:rRNA from 1 species